AUUGAACGCUGGCGGCAGGCCUAACACAUGCAAGUCGAACGAGCGGCGGACGGGUGAGUAAUGUCUGGGGAUCUGCCCGAUGGAGGGGGAUAACUACUGGAAACGGUGGCUAAUACCGCAUACUAUCGGAUGUACCCAUAUGGGAUUAGCUAGUAGGUGGGGUAAAGGCUCACCUAGGCGACGAUCCCUAGCUGGUCUGAGAGGAUGAACAGCCACACUGGAACUGAGACACGGCCCAGACUCCUACGGGAGGCAGCAGUGGGGAAUAUUGCACAAUGGGCGCAAGCCUGAUGAAGCCAUGCCGCGUGUAUGAAGAAGGCCUUAGGGUUGUAAAGUACUUUCAGCGGGGAGGCGUUACCCGCAGAAGAAGCACCGGCUAACUCCGUGCCAGCAGCCGCGGUAAUAC
rnacentral:rRNA from 1 species